rnacentral:tRNA from 1 species
GCCGAGGUGGCGGAAUUGGUAGACGCACCAGACUCAAAAUCUGGCGCCGGCAACGGCGUGCGGGUUCGAUUCCCGCCCUCGGCACCA